rnacentral:rRNA from 1 species
GAUGAACGCUGGCGGCGUGCCUAAUACAUGCAAGUCGAGCGAACAGACGAGGAGCUUGCUCCUCUGACGUUAGCGGCGGACGGGUGAGUAACACGUGGAUAACCUACCUAUAAGACUGGGAUAACUUCGGGAAACCGGAGCUAAUACCGGAUAAUAUAUUUAACCGCAUGGUUCAAUAGUGAAAGACGGUUUUGCUGUCAAUUAUAGAUGGAUCCGCGCCGCAUUAGCUAGUUGGUAAGGUAACGGCUUACCAAGGCAACGAUGCGUAGCCGACCUGAGAGGGUGAUCGACCACACUGGAACUGAGACACGGUCCAGACUCCUACGGGAGGCAGCAGUAGGGAAUCUUCCGCAAAGGGCGAAAGCCUGACGGAGCAACGCCGCGUGAGUGAUGAAGGUCUUCGGAUCGUAAAACUCUGUUAUUAGGGAAGAACAAAUGUGUAAGUAACUAUGCACGUCUUGACGGUACCUAAUCAGAAAGCCACGGCUAACUACGUG